rnacentral:rRNA from 1 species
CACGUAGGGUCCGAGCGUUGUCCGGAAUUACUGGGCGUAAAGCGCGCGCAGGCGGUUAGUCGCAUCGGCGGUGAAAGCCCCCCGCUUAACGGGGGAGGGUCCGUCGAGAUGGACUGACUGGAGGCAGGGAGAGGGCGGUGGAAUUCCGGGUGUAGUGGUGAAAUGCGUAGAGAUCCGGAGGAACACCAGUGGCGAAGGCGGCCGCCUGGACCUGACCUG